AUGAACGCUAGCUACAGGCUUAACACAUGCAAGUCGAGGGGCAGCAUGAACUUAGCUUGCUAAGUUUGAUGGCGACCGGCGCACGGGUGAGUAACACGUAUCCAACCUGCCGAUGACUCGGGGAUAGCCUUUCGAAAGAAAGAUUAAUACCCGAUGGCAUAGUUCUUCCGCAUGGUAGAACUAUUAAAGAAUUUCGGUCAUCGAUGGGGAUGCGUUCCAUUAGGUUGUUGGCGGGGUAACGGCCCACCAAGCCUUCGAUGGAUAGGGGUUCUGAGAGGAAGGUCCCCCACAUUGGAACUGAGACACGGUCCAAACUCCUACGGGAGGCAGCAGUGAGGAAUAUUGGUCAAUGGACGAGAGUCUGAACCAGCCAAGUAGCGUGAAGGAUGACUGCCCUAUGGGUUGUAAACUUCUUUUAUACGGGAAUAAAGUGAGGCACGUGUGCCUUUUUGUAUGUACCGUAUGAAUAAGGAUCGGCUAACUCCGUGCCAGCAGCCGCGGUAAUACGGAGGAUCCGAGCGUUAUCCGGAUUUAUUGGGUUUAAAGGGAGCGUAGGCGGACGCUUAAGUCAGUUGUGAAAGUUUGCGGCUCAACCGUAAAAUUGCAGUUGAUACUGGGUGUCUUGAGUACAGUAGAGGCAGGCGGAAUUCGUGGUGUAGCGGUGAAAUGCUUAGAUAUCACGAAGAACUCCGAUUGCGAAGGCAGCCUGCUGGACUGUAACUGACGCUGAUGCUCGAAAGUGUGGGUAUCAAACAGGAUUAGAUACCCUGGUAGUCCACACAGUAAACGAUGAAUACUCGCUGUUUGCGAUAUACAGUAAGCGGCCAAGCGAAAGCGUUAAGUAUUCCACCUGGGGAGUACGCCGGCAACGGUGAAACUCAAAGGAAUUGACGGGGGCCCGCACAAGCAGUGGAGUAUGUGGUUUAAUUCGACGCAACGCGAAGAACCUUACCAAGUCUUGACAUCCUGCGACGGUUCUGGAAACAGAACUUUCCUUCGGGACGCAGAGACAGGUGGUGCAUGGUUGUCGUCAGCUCGUGCCGUGAGGUGUCGGCUUAAGUGCCAUAACGAGCGCAACCCUUAUCGAUAGUUACCAUCAGGUGAUGCUGGGGACUCUGUCGAGACUGCCGUCGUAAGAUGUGAGGAAGGUGGGGAUGACGUCAAAUCAGCACGGCCCUUACGUCCGGGGCUACACACGUGUUACAAUGGGGGGUACAGAAGGCAGCUACACGGCGACGUGAUGCUAAUCCCGAAAGCCUCUCUCAGUUCGGAUUGGAGUCUGCAACCCGACUCCAUGAAGCUGGAUUCGCUAGUAAUCGCGCAUCAGCCACGGCGCGGUGAAUACGUUCCCGGGCCUUGUACACACCGCCCGUCAAGCCAUGAAAGCCGGGGGUACCUGAAGUGCGUAACCGCAAGGAGCGCCCUAGGGUAAAACUGGUGAUUGGGGCU
rnacentral:rRNA from 1 species